GGCAGCCUCGGGAGAGCGACCCAAGAGCUGACAGAACCCGUCUCCUGCGUGGGCGAUCGUGGGAGACGGCGUUUUGUGAAAUGGAAUCCUGAAAAGACUUGGUGCGUUCGCCGAGAAGCUCAGUAGCGCGGCAAACUUGGUUGUACCGAUGGUCGCAUCGCUCGGGAAGAACCGCGUUCUUCUCGCGGCCUCAGUAGCCCCC
rnacentral:ncRNA from 2 species